GAGUUAUCUGCUUUGUUUGGCCUUCUUUAUCUGAGGUCAAGUUAAAAAAAAAAUUGCGUUGAUUAUUUUAAUUUGGGGUCUUUGAUUGUUGAUUGGGGUUAGAGUGUGGUGGUUUAUGGUAUUGUGAUUUGGUUUGCUGCUGUCCGAAUUCCCUCUGGAACUAGAACUGGUGGAACUGUUUUCAAGCAAUAUCCCCAGGAUGUUCAUACCAGGGUCGUUGGUCGACAACUUGUUAGCAAACACCAACAAUGUAUUUAAGUAUUAAUAUUUCAACCAUCAAAGCAGAGUCUUCCGUCCUCAAGCAGAACGUUGGGAAAGGAACUGUCCUGGCAUCCCCUCGCUCCUGCUUGCAUUCAGUCUAUUCUUAAGCUAACACACCUGAAUCAACUUGUCUGAGAGCCCUUGACCAGUGGAUUCUAGUGAGCUUGUUCAGGACUACAAUAAAACUGAGACAUCAGAGGUUUGUGAACGUCUGAUCUAGAACCAUCUGCUUCAAUGGUUACUUUCCCUAAAAAUGGGGUCUCGUCAGUGCUUGCCUCAACAGCUGCCAAUGACUGGGUCUUUCUGAACCCAUUAAAAAGUCCCUUGAUCUCACAUUUCUAUUUGAUUUCAGGCAAUGCUGUGUGGAUUUACACCACUAAUCCGGUUACCUGUCACCAGAGUAGCAGCACUGUUUACUGACACGUGGAGCUAGCAAGCCUGCCCUGUGCUUCCACAAGUCAACAUGACAUGGAGCUUCAAGUUGGAUUCUAUUACAGAAUAUUCUCGCAUUCUAAACAUAGGAUUCUUUCUACUUGCCGUCAGAGAAUUCCACAGCACCAAAUCAAAGGAUAUCUGAAACCCUUUAAUGUGUCACUUUGUUUUAUUAGUAUCUUUGUAUAUCCCUUUCUUCCUCACAUCCCCCUGUAUUUUAACCCCCUCUUUCUUUCUACCUCUGUCUCCUGUAUAUAACCCCAGGCCCCCUCCCCACUGUUUCAAGACCCGUCGGUCUAUAUGAACUCCUUUUAUACCUCAACUUUAGAAUUGUUCUAGAACAAGUAAAAAGAAACAAUAUUUCAAGUUGUAGUGUUCCUUAUUAGACAAAACUAAUAAAAUAAUUUAGUGUGC
ensembl:lncRNA